AAAUUGAAGAGUUUGAUCAUGGCUCAGAUUGAACGCUGGCGGCAGGCCUAACACAUGCAAGUCGAACGGUAACAGAAAGCAGCUUGCUGCUUUGCUGACGAGUGGCGGACGGGUGAGUAAUGUCUGGGAAACUGCCCGAUGGAGGGGGAUAACUACUGGAAACGGUAGCUAAUACCGCAUAACGUCGCAAGACCAAAGAGGGGGACCUUCGGGCCUCUUGCCAUCGGAUGUGCCCAGAUGGGAUUAGCUAGUAGGUGGGGUAAAGGCUCACCUAGGCGACGAUCCCUAGCUGGUCUGAGAGGAUGACCAGCCACACUGGAACUGAGACACGGUCCAGACUCCUACGGGAGGCAGCAGUGGGGAAUAUUGCACAAUGGGCGCAAGCCUGAUGCAGCCAUGCCGCGUGUAUGAAGAAGGCCUUCGGGUUGUAAAGUACUUUCAGCGGGGAGGAAGGGAGUAAAGUUAAUACCUUUGCUCAUUGACGUUACCCGCAGAAGAAGCACCGGCUAACUCCGUGCCAGCAGCCGCGGUAAUACGGAGGGUGCAAGCGUUAAUCGGAAUUACUGGGCGUAAAGCGCACGCAGGCGGUUUGUUAAGUCAGAUGUGAAAUCCCCGGGCUCAACCUGGGAACUGCAUCUGAUACUGGCAAGCUUGAGUCUCGUAGAGGGGGGUAGAAUUCCGGGUGUAGCGGUGAAAUGCGUAGAGAUCUGGAGGAAUACCGGUGGCGAAGGCGGCCCCCUGGACGAAGACUGACGCUCAGGUGCGAAAGCGUGGGGAGCAAACAGGAUUAGAUACCCUGGUAGUCCACGCCGUAAACGAUGUCGACUUGGAGGUUGUGCCCUUGAGGCGUGGCUUCCGGAGCUAACGCGUUAAGUCGACCGCCUGGGGAGUACGGCCGCAAGGUUAAAACUCAAAUGAAUUGACGGGGGCCCGCACAAGCGGUGGAGCAUGUGGUUUAAUUCGAUGCAACGCGAAGAACCUUACCUGGUCUUGACAUCCACGGAAGUUUUCAGAGAUGAGAAUGUGCCUUCGGGAACCGUGAGACAGGUGCUGCAUGGCUGUCGUCAGCUCGUGUUGUGAAAUGUUGGGUUAAGUCCCGCAACGAGCGCAACCCUUAUCCUUUGUUGCCAGCGGUCCGGCCGGGAACUCAAAGGAGACUGCCAGUGAUAAACUGGAGGAAGGUGGGGAUGACGUCAAGUCAUCAUGGCCCUUACGACCAGGGCUACACACGUGCUACAAUGGCGCAUACAAAGAGAAGCGACCUCGCGAGAGCAAGCGGACCUCAUAAAGUGCGUCGUAGUCCGGAUUGGAGUCUGCAACUCGACUCCAUGAAGUCGGAAUCGCUAGUAAUCGUGGAUCAGAAUGCCACGGUGAAUACGUUCCCGGGCCUUGUACACACCGCCCGUCACACCAUGGGAGUGGGUUGCAAAAGAAGUAGGUAGCUUAACCUUCGGGAGGGCGCUUACCACUUUGUGAUUCAUGACUGGGGUGAAGUCGUAACAAGGUAACCGUAGGGGAACCUGCGGUUGGAUCACCUCCUUA
rnacentral:rRNA from 1 species